CAGUUUUACGGAAUACUGUUUCCGCCAUCAUUUACUCGGCCUAUUAGAUAUUAGUACUCGAUACAGGUUUGCGUUGCAUGGACAGACUCAUCGUCGGAUACCCACGGGUGAUCCAUUCCGUUACCUCCAUUGAUGUAUGAAGCGUUAGCGUAAUUAGCAACCGUGGGUAUCCGACGAUGGGACAGACUGUAAGAUCUUCUAACAUGGCGGACAAUUCUCGGUCUCAGAGAUUUAUAUAGCGCCCUUUUCAUGCUCAAUUUCACGUUCAACGGCGUUUUACAUUGUUCAAAUGGAGCCACACAGGGCGCAUAAUUCAUCCUCUACUAGUACAGACACAGAGCGAUCUGACCAGGGGGACAGACUGAGACAAAACCCCGACGACAGACAGAUCAGAAAUCAGAUACAGGCUUGUCCGGCUAACUUAGCCUAGCUCGUUGCGAAUAGACAGCCUGUUCUUUAACGUACAUUACGGACGUUUGCUAACAGCAACAAAACUACAUCACAACUGACCAGACAAUCUGAUUGUAGCUCCCAUUAUAAAGAAAGAUAAAUCGAACAUUCAAUCUCAACCCGGAUAUUGUGGUCUAAGAUCAAGUUGGUUUUUAGAUCACACUGGCACAAUUUUGAUCAUACACAACUUCCAAGCUUCAGCCACUGAGGAAGACGUGAGAUGGCUUCAUCACAUGACGACCUGAGCAGAACUCAAAUCUGCAGUAGUGACAGACAGGUGAUUCGGUGUCAAGGGCAUUAACAACACGAUUACGGAGAUCCAAAGAUCAAUCCUGUCAUAUCUUAGAAAACAAAAACAACAACAAAACAACAACAACUUUUGUUUGAUAUUUGACAGUACUUUAGUUUAUAGUCAAUAACUUCAACUGUUUUUGUUUGUUUAUAAUAAUGAUUUUUGCUCGUUUAAAAAGCAAAUCAUUUACACCUUUUAAAAAUGGAUGAGGGUCGUGAAAGUAUUAUUUCUUCUACUGAUUACCUAAUUAAUAUAGUUGACAAUUAUUACAUGCUCUGUUAGCUAAACAUUCUAGUAAAGAUAUGCAUUGUUUAUUUAAGAAACAUUCUAACAUGACUCGGUUUGAUUUCCAGUUAAACAAAGAAGGAAAUCAAGCUCUGUAUAUUCUGCAAUAAACAACGGUUGACGCGCGGACAGGCAAGAGAACAUUGUGACGUCAAUUAUGACGACAAAUUGCCGCAUACAUACAUGACGUCCGAUACAUAACUCCUCUGGUAAAUGAAGUCCAUCAUAAUAUUUAUAAGGUCAAUGAGCAUGUCAGAAUGAAACCAAUUAAGACCUUCUUAUGAUUUAUCGUCUAAUUUACCACGGUUCAUCGUUCAGCUCCUUCAGUAUUCAACCACUCGGGCUAACGCCCUCGUGGUUCAAUUCCUACGCAUCUAAACUCUGAACCGUUGUAAAUCAGACGAUAAACCACUCGAAGGCCUUGAUUAUUUGUUAAGUAUAUCCCAAACAGUGAUUUUGUCAUGGAAUAAUAAAAACGUUAAGGAGUUA